rnacentral:misc_RNA from 1 species
AACACUGUUAACCUGCGGUACCUGCGGAAGGAUCAUUACAGAGUGUUUAACCCCCUAUAAAAUGGUGGGUCUAACCUCCCGUCCUUUGCUGGGUCCCCCUUCUGGAGGACUUUCAAAACUUCCUGCUUCGGCGGGGUAUACCCGCCGGAACACCCUCAAAAAAUUCUUGAUCAAAAUGGUUCGGUCCGAGAAACUUUUUGUGAAAAUUAGCGAAAAACUUUCAACAACGGAUCUCAGAUC